AGGGUGUUUGAAGAAGCUCUGCAGGUUCAGACUUCAGACUUAGAAAACAUCCCCGACCAGCUGAAGCUGCCAGUCUGUGUGACUGUUUUCUGGUUUAAGAAGCUACAGCACCACCCAAAGCCUGAAACUGUAAACUGCCUCCAUGCUCUCCUGCUGUGGUUAGUGUGUGAGCCCGAUGGUCCAGAGGACGAGUUUGAGAGGAAGAUGAAAGCUUUAAAGGAUGAAGUUGUGCGUAACUGGCAGCCAUGUGUGGCUCAUGCUUUCAGCCAAUGGCAGUGCUGCAUGAGGCAGAGCCUCCACCUGAACCAGCUGCUGUGUUCCCCUCUACCAGAACCUCAGUGUGCACGACUUUACUGUGGACCUCUCCUUCAUCGGCUGGCAGAUGAAGACACGAUUAAACAACUACAGAAAACACUGAAAGGACAAAAGAAGGAAAUAUAUAAAAAUUUAAAGACCAUUCUUAAUCCAACAACUACUGAGGAGGGCUCCUCAAGUGAGGAAGGAUGUUAACAACUGGUGUUAUUGAGGAAGAUGGCAUCCAUCCCACUUUGGAUGGUGCAGCUCUCCUUUCUAGACAUCUGGAUGAAUUUAUCCAGAAUUCAAACCAGAAAAUAGAGUUAAGGGCUUACAUGCAACUCUGAACAGUCCCUCGUCCUGUCACCUACCCCCAAAACCCUGUCCUCACAGAGGCUGUGACUCCAUAACACCAAAGAGCCAAAAGAGCUAAAUGUGGUUUACUGAAUAUAUUAUUUUUACAGUAAAAGUUAAGAACACAAAGAAAUGAGUGACGCAGUUUAAAGAUCGAUGGCUUCCUCUCCUCCUCCCUCCUUUUGUCUUUGGGUAAAGAUGAUAACAUUUUAGAAACUAAAACUAAUGCACAACUAAAACACAAUCCUACUUCUAAAUGAAAUACAGGAAGUAGAAAAAUAGUGAAAUAAAGAGCUGUCGGUGUGGUUUUACGUUGUUUUACUCAGUAGUUGAACUGAACUGAAUCAAAUUUAGCUAAUGAGCAGCAGGAACCUGAAGAAAGCAGCAACAUGGAUUCUAGUCAGGUGUUUAAUGAGCAGCUGAGAGAGGAGAGAAGAAUUUAUCAGGGAAAUGAGGCAGACAUUAGUAGCCGGUGUUCAUUAACCCCACAUUGUCUGCACAGGAUAACUCACAUGCACAACAGCCAAUAAGAGCUCAGGCCAUAAGACGUCCACAUGCAGGAAACACCUCGAUUUCACCUUCUUGUUAUUAUUUUGUGUCUACAGUGUGACCAUGCACAGGCCCACAAAUCUGGAAUAAUAUUGAAAGCUCUUUAAAAAUAUUAACGCCUUUCUCUGUAUUCAAACGGACGCAAGGAUUGUGUGUUGCAAGGAUUUUUCAAAACUUGUAAUCGAAGUGCUAU